AGGGAUUUAGCUCAGCGGCAUAAGCGCCUGCCUUGCAAGCAGGCAGUUGUGAAUUCUAUCCCUG
rnacentral:tRNA from 1 species